UUUAAGUGCAGUUAUCGGUUUCUAUAUCCAACAUUUGAUCGUUCAUCUUAUUUGAAAUUUUUUUAUAAUUAGUAUUGUUAUUGUUAUUAGAUAAUAAAACACGAAUAUCACUUCAUGCGUGACUUAUUUUUUUAUUUCUUUUCAUAUUUUUUUCAAAUAAAGCGGACGGGCAAACAUUUGAUAUAGAAACCCACAGACUACACUUAAA
rfam:Oryza rufipogon genomic scaffold, chr06